rnacentral:rRNA from 1 species
GUCCACGCCGUAAACGAUGGAUGCUGGGUGUUGGGAGUGUCAAAGCUCUCAGUGCCGAAGCUAACGCGUUAAGCAUCCCGCCUGGGAAGUACGGCCGCAAGGUUAAAACUCAAAGGAAUUGACGGGGGCCCCGCACAAGCGGUGGAGCAUGUGGUUCAAUUCGACGCAACGCGCAGAACCUUACCUGGGCUUGACAUCCCGAGAAUCUCCUAGAAAUAGGGGAGUGCCCGCAAGGGAGCUCGGUGACAGGUGCUGCAUGGCUGUCGU